UAUGCCACUGUGCACUAUGCACACUCGAAGAUUUAUUCACAUUUUUUGUCCCUCCACUUUUCCUAAUUAAUCUAGAUGAUGACAUCUCUGUUCACUGCAUUCCUAUUUGAACCUCUGUUGACAUUGCAUAAGUUUGUGUUGAUUAACUUCCUUGUUUUACUCACUUGUUUGACCCAGGCACCUGAAGGUUCUACCAUGCCAAAAACGAAAAAGCAUGUCAGAUGCAAAAACAGCGCAGCUGCUACCUCAAGAAUAACAAGAUCUAGAGCUACCAGAACAACUGAGUCAUUUGAAGCUACAAACCAUCAAGAACAGUCUGCACCAAACCCAACAAACACAUCACCUCACCUAACUUCUAAGGAUAGCAACUCGCCUGAUGCUGAUUCAGGGGUACAAGGUUCUCAAGACAUGAUAGGCACAUCCGGACAAUCAGAUAACAUUAUUACAUUACAAGACCAAGGUAUAUGCGACAUCAUCGCUUCACCCCUUCUAUUUUCCACUUUAAAUUGUAACCUUCUAAUUUAUCUGCCAACUUGUAAUGUAGAUGCAUUAGCAUGCUCCACUGGUCCAACUGAUCCACGUCCGUCAAGGAGAGGUCGUGGACGUAGACCAACCAUGGGGCAUGGGCUUCAGGAGUAUGCAAUCAGGACCCAAGUCCCAUUGAAUUUUUCAAAGACACCCAUACAAACAGCAAGACCGGUAGCAUGAGCGAGCCAGCACUUCUAGCUCAUAAUGCGAUGGAAAAGAAAAGGGAAACACAAUCAGAAGGUGAGCAGCCAGUAUCCGAUACAGCGAUUGUGGCUGAAGUUCUAAAGGAAGAAAGCGCCCAUAGCACCUUCCUUGCCAGCAUGGGGCAUGCAUCAAGAUCCGGGAGGUCUGGGAGCUCUACUUGAUCAGCCCAGAUCAAAGUUUUAGAAGAAAGAAUUGAACAGAAGGAUAGAGAGGCAAGAGAUGCAAAUGUCAGGCAUCGAGAGGAGUUAGCCGCAAGACUUGAAGCAUAAGAGAGAGCAUUUGAAGAGAUACAAAAGAAGCAGCAAGAAGACUUGGAAGCUCUAAAGAAGAUCUAGCAAGAGAAGAAUGAAGCCUGGACAAAGAAGCAAAAGGAGACGGAUAAUCUACUUGAUUUUCUCUUGAGGGCUCAAGCAACUCAGCAGUCCCAGUCCAAACCAGAUGGUUCAUGAAUGCCAUCCUUACAUUGGAAUCAUCAGGAUAACAUAUGUGUCUUUAGUUAAUAUUAGUUUUCAUCUUGUCUAUUAUAUGUGUCAAACUUGAGUCAGUUUUGUACUGUCAUUUUUUUAUAGAAUGA